rfam:Rachicladosporium antarcticum strain CCFEE 5527 scaffold_27, whole genome shotgun sequence.
GGACCUGUGGCGCAGCGGUAGCGCGUCUGAUUCCAGUGCGUGUAUCCAGAAGGUCAUCCGUUCAAAUCGGGUCAGGUUCA